GACGAACGCUGGCGGCGUGCUUAACACAUGCCAGUCGAACGGUGAAGCGCCUUCCUUUUUAGUGGGUGUGGAUGAGUGGCGAACGGGUGAGUAACACGUGAGUAACCUGCCCCCUUCUUCUGGAUAACCGCAUGAAAGUGUGGCUAAUACGGGAUAUUCUGGGUCUGUCGCAUGAUGGGUCUGGGAAAGAUAUUGUUUCGGUGGGGGAUGGGCUCGCGGCCUAUCAGCUUGUUGGUGGGGUGAUGGCCUACCAAGGCGGUGACGGGUAGCCGGCCUGAGAGGGUGGACGGUCACACUGGGACUGAGACACGGCCCAGACUCCUACGGGAGGCAGCAGUGGGGAAUAUUGCACAAUGGGCGCAAGCCUGAUGCAGCGACGCCGCGUGAGGGAUGGAGGCCUUCGGGUUGUGAACCUCUUUCGCCAGUGAAGCAGGCCUGCCUCGUUUGUGGGUGGGUUGACGGUAGCUGGAUAAGAAGCGCCGGCUAACUACGUG
rnacentral:rRNA from 1 species